GACGUAGGGCGCGAGCGUUGUCCGGAUUUAUUGGGCGUAAAGAGCUCGUAGGCGGCUUGUUGCGUCGGCUGUGAAAUCCCGUGGCUUAACUGCGGGCUUGCAGCUGAUACGGGCGGGCUGGAGUUCGGUAGGGGAGACUGGAAUUCCUGGUGUAGCGGUGAAAUGCGCAGAUAUCAGGAGGAACACCGGUGGCGAAGGCGCGUCUCUGGGCCGAUACUGACGCUGAGGAGCGAAAGCGUGGGGAGCGAACAGG
rnacentral:rRNA from 1 species